GGAAGUAAAAGGUAACAAGGUCUCCGUUGGUGAACCAGCGGAGGGAUCAUUACAGAGUUUUCACAACUCCCAACCCUUGCGAACCGUACCCAUUCUGUUCUCGUUGCUUCCGGCGGGGGGGACGGGGGGGCCCGAAACGGCCUCCCCGCCCCGCCCGCCGGGGGCGGCGGGCCCUACGAACCUUUAUAUCUCAACCACCAGAAACCGUCUGAGAAAACAAACAAAAUAAUCAAAACUUUCAACAACGCAUCUCUUGGCUCUG
rnacentral:misc_RNA from 1 species